UUGCAGGGCUGGAAUUCCCUAGAGAACGCUGCAGGGGGUUCCUCCCCAACCUCUUGGUUGUUGGUCAUGGGGAAGUUGAGUAGCUUGUGCUUUUCCAAGUGGGAGGCAGGUAAGCAAAUGGUUUCCAGACUCAGGCCCCACCAAGCUUGGAGAGAUCUUUCAUUAUGAGGGGAAAACAUUACUAAAGCUCAGGCUCUGGGCACUCUAAGCUGUGUUAGCCAGCUGAACCAACAGUUUCUCCAGGCUUCUCUCCUAGAACAGUCAUGCGUAGUCUCUUGUCCCAACGUGGGCCCAGUCUAAGACAAACUGCACUGUUCUUAGCAAAUCAGGUGGCCACCUGGCUGUGCAGUCGUGGAUAACUGUUUUAACCUCUCUGAAUUUCAAUUGCAUCAAAGGUCCUCCUUUGCUUGGUGUCCAGAAUGCAGAAGGGGCUGUCUUACUGAUUCACACAGGUAACAAGACUCCUGCUUUACUUCCCUGAGCAUAGACAGGUGGGUGACAUGGAUGACCUCGGACCACACUGUCAGGGAUGGAACCUAGGCUGUCAGGAGAAACCUUUAAAGGGUGUUCCCUGCCUUUCUGGGCUUGGAUGAAGCUGCUUCCCCCUCUGCUGAGUCAGGACAGAGUGUGAGGGUGGGGUGCCGUGGGGAAGUCAGGGGCUGAAGAAAAUCCAGGGUGUUGCACAAGAGGCAGCGGGGGUGGGGGAAGGUCCAUUUUAAAGAGGCAGUGGAGGAGCACGGGGCUGGUCCUGCACCGAGCGCUGUCUGCCGCUGUGAUGUUCUGUGCUGCAGGGAUCAAAGCCUCCCUGGGCACCGUUCCCUAAGACAGGGUAACUGCGGGGCCCACAAACACCUUGAGUUUCUCACAGAGGCCUACUUGAAGUCACUGCCUCGGUUUCCCUCAUGCCCAGCUCUCCGCCCCCGCUUGUUUCUGAUCCAGCCCUAUGGUGCUCCUCACGCCUCCGGCUUGGGCUGCUGACUCAGUCAUCGGGAUUGAUGUCCAGGGCCACCUGUGGCUGCACAUGGUCCAUCUCGUCCGUGUUAAGCUUCUCUCUCUGGCCCCGGUGGCUCUCCCAUUUCAGCCUCGGCCUCCAUCUCCCUUUGGCUCUAGACUUGGUUAAGCUUAUUUGUGCAACGAUCUCAGUAUCUGACUCUCAAGUUUGCCAAUGGCCUUCACAUAAAUCGGCAAAGUGGGUAGAGUGGGCCUGGCCCUUUCCUACUUGGGCCUUUUAAACUCUUAGUUCUAGACCAAUCCCUCUUCUAGUCCAGUGAUGGUGAACUUUUAGAAAUGAGCUCUUAACCUGCAACCCAAAACCCACUGAUUUAUCACAAAGUGACAAUACUUCAAUGGAACUUGAAUACUGAGGUUUUAGUUUAGGGACAGCAACUCAUAUAUUAACAUCUUUUUCUGGAAAGAAAAUAACAUGUGUGCCAUAGGUUCGCUACCACUGCUUUAGACUCUGUUGGCCUCCUGAGUGGGGCUUUCUGUCUCCCAGCUGAGGCCAGCAGGCCCUGGUCUGUCUCUGGCCUGCUUGUCUUCAGGAGACAGCUUGGUUCUGCGCAGGAGCCUGGGGUAGGGGGAGAUACAGAGGCCUACCGAGGUAGAGGCAGCUGGGAGAGUCCUCUUGCCAAGUCUGCAGGGCACAUUAGGGCUGCCCAUGGAACAGGGUCUUUCUUAAGAGGGAGGGAACUGGACUGUGUAACCAAAUCAUAAGCAGAAAAGAAUUAGAACUUUCUUCUGGGGUUUGUGAAUGCUUUCUUCAGUGUGAUUUCUUAGAUCACUAUCUUGAGUUUCUCAAAUACUCCUCCUUGAGGGCUUCUGUCUCAUUGUGUGUACAUCCCUAUGACUUCUCUCUCCCAGUCUCUGGACUAAAUUUUAUUUUUUCAAGCUUUUUGAGGUCUUUGGAUGACCAUUAAUCGCCUCAUUUCACAGGGGAAAAAUGGAGACUUAGAGAGAUGUGCUCAUUUCCUUAUAGCUUCAUAGCCAAAGGGACCUUUCUCACGGACAUGUCUCACGGUGGCGGAAGAACGACUUGGCAGCCUCCCUCCCUUCUAUCAAAGGGACACGAGGAAUCAGCACGCAUCCAGUUAGUCACGCAGCACUUAACAAUGAAUGUGAGGAUGCUUCUACUCUAAGCGGCUCAGGAAUGGGUGAGGCUUCUUAAGUGAGCUAAUGCUGGGUUAUUGUUUUAUAAGGGGCAGAGUCAGAGACGAGCUAAGAGGAAAAGUAGCCCUUCCUCUCCUGAGAACCAUACUGUGGGCGCUGGGAAAAAACAAAAAGCAAAAUAAAAAAAACCCGCUAGUGCUCAUCAUGGAUGUUGACACACCUGCUUCUAGGCUAAGGACAUUGGACAUUGCUGUCCAGUGAGAGCCUGAAGGGGUUCAGAGGGGUUACCCCUGUGCUCCCGAACUAGCUGCCAAGGGUCAAACGCUAGGAUACAGACAAGGGGCUCUCUCUGGGGAAGGGAGUAUAGAGUCAUUGGUCUCAGCGAUUAAAGAGACUUUAGCAAAGGGAUAAAUGAUCAGAGAUGGGGAAGGACUAGAACCCUGUCUCAAGGCUGAUGUCUGGUGGGGCAUCUUUGUUGGUAUUCAGAAAUUAACAAAUCAGCUUCCUUCCAGGGUUGUUUGAUGUUGAGAUCUACUUGACCCUUGGGAGAUAUGAACCAAUAUGUGUAUUUUUUAUAAAUAAAGAUGAAGGUAAAACAGGGUCACUCA